AAUGGCUGAAACACCUCACUCUCUAAUCUCCACUCUGAACCUCAUACCCAAUUACUGAAACAUCUCCCUCUCCAAUCUCCACUCCGAGCCUUAUACCCAAUCACUGAAACAGCUCACUGUCCUGUCCCCACUCCUAGCCUCAUACCCACUGAACCCCCUCCCUCUUCAGUCACUUCUCUGAUCCUCAUAAUCACUGAAACACCUCACUCUCCAAUCUCCACUCAGAGCUUCAUACACAAUCACUGAAACACCUCACACUCCAAACUCCACUCCGAGCCUCAUACCCACUGAAACCCCUCACUCUCCAAUCUCCACUCCGAGCCUCAUACCCACUGAAACACCUCACUCUCCAAUCUCCACUCCGAGACUCAUACCCACUGAAACUCCUCACUCUCCACUCUCCACUCCGACCCUCAUACCCAAUCACUGAAACACCUCACUCUCCAAUCUCCACUCCGAGACUCAUACCCACUGAAACUCCUCACUCUCCACUCUCCUCUCCGAUCCUCAUACCCAAUCACUGUAACACAUCAAUCUUCUGUCUCUGCCCUGAGACUCACCAAUUCGGUCUUACUGCCUCAAAUACCACAGCCUUCAAACAAAAUGAUGCUCCUACCACCCUCGAUCAUUGAAGCACUUUUACCUAAUUUCCAUCAGCGCUGAAGCCCAAUCCCCUCUGUCCCUGGCUGUCUUGUGGUAUUCAAGUCUGCUGUCCACUUCCUCUAAUAAUACCUACAAUGCCUCUCUGCUGCCACAGCACUCUCUUGCAAACAGACUAAGUCAUGAGCAACGUAAUUCACUUCAAGAUAAUGCCCAAUGCCCAUUCAGUAGUUUCUAAUUUAGUGAUACUCGUUUUCUAACAAUUUCUAGGUACAGAUCUGAGUGUUAUGCCUUCGACGCGACGCAUGUCCGGGUGUAUCAUUUUAGUUUAGAUAAAAAUAUUGGUGCAGCAAUGUAACUGGAUUUAUUUCUGUUUGUUCGAUUUUGCAGAUCUGUUGUCAUCAGGUUGUGGCACCAAACUCUGUGCAGCUGUGACCCAUAUCUAUGCAUGACAACAGCAACAAAAGCAUGGUUUCUACUGGUUAAAAAUCUUCACUGACUACAGGAGAAUGCUGUGGCCUGGUGUGAGGUUUAGUGCAGCACUCAUGCUUUUGCUCAGAGCUGUACCUCUUGAACCUCAGGAUUCUUUGAAGACCUUGACCUGGAAGUUCCACUCUGACUUUGGUUCUUUGUGGUAAUGGGACCAGCUCUCAGGGCCUCACGACUGGCUGCUUCUCGACAUGCCAAGGACGCGGCCUGGAAGACCAGCACACCCUCAGGGUGCCGAAUUCUUGCAGCUCUGGAGGCCCGAGUUCUUUGGGCACAGAACUUGGAAAAAGUGACGCAGCAGACUCUUAACACCAUAAAUCACUCUGAUUGUGCAGGAACAUCGCCAGAUGUUGAUAACAGCUCUUUUUGAGAUGCAUCCUUCUUCUCUCAUUCAGUCGCAGUAUAAGAACUGAAGACGGACUUCAAGUUACAACCAGAAAAUAAACAAACUGCUAUUUGGAAGUCUACUUUUUCAUCUGUUUUUCAUCUUACAAGUGGCAGGUGUUGUGUGUAUAGAAAACAAGGAUCAGGAGCAUCUUUGAUUUACAUCACUCUGCUGUUGUUGGUUCUGUCUUCAACUGCCUAAAACUAGGCCUUGUAACACUGUCCCUAAUCCUUCCUCCUCUCUGCCGCUGCAACACACGCAAAAUGCUGGAGGAACUCAGCAGACCAGGCAGUGUCUAUGGAAAAAAAGUACUGUCGACAUUUCGGGCCGAGACCCUUCAGCAGGACUUCCAGCAUCUGCAGAUUCUCUCUCGCAUCCUCUCUACCUCUCCUCAUUUAAAGUCCUGCUCAAACGCUACCUUUUUUAACCAAGUCCUGAAGAUCUUUUUCAAUGUCUUGGUUUGCUGUUCAAUAUUGUGCCUGCUUUCAUAUGCUGUCUUUAACAUACUAGAACAUCCCUGGCUGGUGGUAACAGUUGCUGUUAUGUGAAUGACUUUCUUACACUUGCUUGGAAGUUGAUGGUUUUGUGGCCUGCUGGAAGUUUUAUUAUGUACCUGAACAUUCAGAAACUUCAUACUCAAUAAAUUUCAUUACAGAUGAAUU